GAAAUCUACCUUUGUGAAAUAUGCCCAGAGCAUUCUCUUGAAGGACACAUCUGCAGAUAAAGCAACUUUAUCAGAGCCUUCUCUCUGCUGAAGAAGGAUAAGAGAAGUGACAUGACUUAUGCUGAUUGUACAGGGAUAUCCAGUUACUAGGAAAAAGAGCCUAGGCUCAACCCAGAUGUUCUGACUCUGUCACAUGCACUAAAUUUUAUCAAAUGACACAAAAUAACAUGACGCAGAAGAGAGGCUAGACGGGUCGAUGGAUUGAAAGGGAAUUAAGCUAUGGUGGUUUACAACUGAUAUGAAGGUUUUAGAAAACAAAAAUCGAAUAACAUCCAUCCUGGAAAAAAGACCAUCUGAGUUAAUGCCCAGGAUAGAGGCUGCUCCUCCAAGUUUGGUCAAGGAAAAAGAAGGUACAUGGAACAGAACCACAUCCUGAAGCAGAGCCAUGGUCCAUGCAUAGCGUACACAUAGGGUAAUCUUAUGUGGAACCCCUAUGUAAAAUCUUAAUUGAAAUUCAAUAAAAUUGCAAUGACCUACCAUAAGCCUGUCUCUCUUCUGGGUAUUUCCCAUGCAUAGAAAAGGAUGAGAAUACCCCAGAGCCUUUCUUCCAGGAGGAAAGGAAAAUACAUAAAAAAUAGGAUGUAAGUGGUGCUGACUCAGCUCCUUGCUACCUGGGGUUUCUCUCUGUGCACAGUCACGGC
rnacentral:lncRNA from 1 species